rnacentral:rRNA from 1 species
UGGGGAAUUUUGGACAAUGGGCGAAAGCCUGAUCCAGCAAUGCCGCGUGUGUGAAGAAGGCCUUCGGGUUGUAAAGCACUUUUGUCCGGAAAGAAAUCCUUGGCUCUAAUACAGUCGGGGGAUGACGGUACCGGAAGAAUAAGCACCGGCUAACUACGUGCCAGCAGCCGCGGUAAUACGUAGGGUGCAAGCGUUAAUCGGAAUUACUGGGCGUAAAGCGUGCGCAGGCGGUUUGCUAAGACCGAUGUGAAAUCCCCGGGCUCAACCUGGGAACUGCAUUGGUGACUGGCAGGCUAGAGUAUGGCAGAGGGGGGUAGAAUUCCACGUGUAGCAGUGAGAUGCGUAGAGAUGUGGAGGAAUACCGAUGGCGAAGGCAGCCCCCUGGGCCAAUACUGACGCUCAUGCACGAAAGCGUGGGGAGCAAAACAGGAUUAGAUACCCUGGUAGUCCACGCCCUAAAACGAUGUCAACUAGUUGUUGGGGAUUCAUUUCCUUAGUAACGUAGCUAACGCGUGAAGUUGACCGCCUGGGGAGUACGGUCGCAAGAUUAAAACUCAAAGAAUUGACGGGGUCAUAGCUGUUUCCU